rnacentral:tRNA from 1 species
UCUUCCGUAGUAUAGUGGUCAGUAUGUGAGCUUGUCAUUCAAUGUCAUCGCUCGAGACCCGGGUUCAAUUCCCGGCGGGAGAG